rnacentral:tRNA from 1 species
UAGCUCAGUCGGAUAGAGCACGAGCCUUCUAAGCUCGGGGCCGCUGGUUCGAGUCCA